rnacentral:lncRNA from 1 species
UACUUGCAAUCAUCGGUGCAAAAUAAGAGAGAUAAGAGAAUGGCAGCCAAACCUUCAGAAAACAGAAUUUCUGUCUUGGACAUGCUCCCAUUCAAAAAAGUAUCACAAGAUAACCAAGGAAAUAAAUCAGUGGAUCAAGACGGCAGAAAGUUAUUCACAGCCAGAUAGCAAAGCAGACGGAUGUAAUCAGUGCCUCAAUUAACAUCUAAAGGACUAGAGGAUGCAAAAUGACUGCCCAUGUCGCAAAAUGACCACAAAAUGUAAACAGUGCCUCAUGACACAAAAGGAUCACAGGAUGUAAACAGGUGCCUCAUUCACAAAAGGACUACGAGAUGGGCUUAACAGAAGCAACUCCAAGUCAUGACUUGCGGCAAAAGUGACAUGGGACUAUUGUGCCAGCGACAGAACCUAAUAGAAAACUA